CCGCGCGCAGAAGGCUCGAGGAGGCUGCAGUUCACUGUAGCAGCAGCAGAGUAUCUACUACAAUCCCAAAGACCCUUUCUACCACAGAUAAACACGCUAAACGAAGCUGAGGGUUAGCUGCUGCUAUAGGGAGUGUCCCUGCACUGAGGAAACAGCUCAGGAAGUGAGAAUCCUGAGCGGGGGAAGUCCCGCUUCACCCAGACCUCCCAACCUGUCUGUCUCUCCUUGAGUCCUCACUACGCUCACGCACACACUCAGAGGCAUGCUGCGUCGUGUCUGGGAGCCACCUCAAAGUGCAGCAGAGGCCCAGGUGUGCUGUGGUGGUUGGGGGUGGGAUGGGUACAGGCAGGCCUGUGUCGGAUCCCCUGGCAGGCGGAGGUGUUCCCUGUGCUGGCUUGUUUCUCCUCUUUUCUCUUACCUCUCUUUUACUGUGUCUAAAAGUUUAACAUGUAAAGCCACUGUGUUCUUUCUCUUCUAGCUCCCUUUGUUUCUUUCUUUUGGUAAAACAUCCAAUAGAAUUUAAAAUGAAGCUUUUAAAUAACUAUGGUCACUGUAGGAACCCACCUAGUUUUUUCUUUUUUUUUUGCUUUGCAACUGUGUUUAAAGAGAAAAUCUAUACAUUUUCUAACAGUUUCGAUAUGUGUUCAUGUUUAAUGGGGACAGUUUAACCCAAAAGAGCAUCAUACAUGGUGAAAAAUAGCAUCAUAACUGGAUGAAAUCCGCAUCUCCAUAAAAGUUGUCAGUAUACAGAAGCAUGAAGUGCUGUAAGAUUUUGUGGGAAAACACUGCACUGACUUUAGACUUGAUGUAACACAGUGGAUCAACACCAGCAGAUGACAUGUCUCUCCAAACCAUCACUGAUUGUGGAAACUUCACACUAGACCUCAAGCAGCUUGAACUGUGUGUCUCUUCACUCUUCCUCCAGACUCUGCUUCCUUGCUUUCCAAAUAAAAUGCAAAAUUUACUGAUAA